rnacentral:rRNA from 1 species
UACGGAGGGUGCAAGCAUUGAUCGGAAUUACUGGGCGUAAAGGGCGCGUAGGCGGCUCGAUAAGUCAGAUGUGAAAUUCCACGGCUCAACCGUGGAGCUGCAUUUGAAACUGUCGGGCUGGAGCAUAGUUAGGGAAAACGGAAUUCCACGUGUAGCGGUGAAAUGCGUAGAUAUGUGGAAGAACACCGGUGGUGAAGACGGUUUUCUGGGCUAUAGCUGACGCUGAGGCGCGAAAGCUAGGGGAGCAAACAGG